rnacentral:rRNA from 1 species
AGCGAACGCUGGCGGCAGGCCUAACACAUGCAAGUCGAACGGACCCUUCGGGGUUAGUGGCGGACGGGUGAGUAACACGUGGGAACGUGCCUUUAGGUUCGGAAUAGCUCCUGGAAACGGGUGGUAAUGCCGAAAGUGCCCUUCGGGGGAAGGAUUUAUCGCCUUUAGAGCGGCCCGCGUCUGAUUAGCCUGUUGGGGAGGUAAUGGCUCACCAAGGCGACGAUCAGUAGCUGGUCUGAGAGGAUGACCAGCCACAUUGGGACUGAGACACGGCCCAAACUCCUACGGGAGGCAGCAGUGGGGGAUCUUGCGCAAUGGGCGAAAGCCUGACGCAGCCAUGCCGCGUGGAUGAUGAAGGUCUUAGGAUUGUAAAAUCCUUUCACCGGUGAAGAUAAUGACUGUAGCCGGAGAAGAAGCCCCGGCUAACUUCGUGCCAGCCGCCGCAGUAA